AUUGAACGCUGGCGGCAGGCCUAACACAUGCAAGUCGAGCGGAUGAAGGGAGCUUGCUCCUGGAUUCAGCGGCGGACGGGUGAGUAAUGCCUAGGAAUCUGCCUGGUAGUGGGGGAUAACGUCCGGAAACGGGCGCUAAUACCGCAUAUGUCCUGAGGGAGAAAGUGGGGGAUCUUCGGACCUCACGCUAUCGGAUGAGCCUAGGUCGGAUUAGCUAGUUGGUGGGGUAAAGGCCUACCAAGGCGACGAUCCGUAACUGGUCCGAGAGGAUGAUCAGUCACACUGGAACUGAGACACGGUCCAGACUCCUACGGGAGGCAGCAGUGGGGAAUAUUGGACAAUGGGCGAAAGCCUGAUCCAGCCAUGCCGCGUGUGUGAAGAAGGUCUUCGGAUUGUAAAGCACUUUAAGUUGGGAGGAAGGGCAGUAAGUUAAUACCUUGCUGUUUUGACGUUACCAACAGAAUAAGCACCGGCUAACUUCGUG
rnacentral:rRNA from 1 species